rnacentral:lncRNA from 10 species
GUGGUUCAUGCCUGUAAUCCCAGCAUUUUGGGAGGCCGAGGCAGGUGGAUCAUUUGAGGCCAGGAGUGUGAGACCAGCCUGGCCAACAUGGCGAAACUCCGUCUCUACUAAAAAUAAAAAUAAAAUAAAAAAAUACCCGAGCGUGGUGGCACACGCGUGUAAUCCCAGCUACUCGGGAGGCUGAGUCAAGAGAAUCACUUGAACCCAGAAGGUGGAGGCUGCAGUGAGCCGAGAUCAUGCCACUGCACUCCAGCCUGGGUGCCAGAGCGAGACUUGGUCAAAGAAAAGAAAAGAAAAAAAAAAGAAACAAACUGCUUGUGUUUGAAUCCUGUUCUCCUGCUUAUUAGCUGAGUGACCCUGGGCAAAUUAUUAACCUUAUUAACCUUAUAGGGUUUUUGAAAAAGUGAGUGAGCUACAAUAUAUGUUUACAGUCACAUAAAAUGCUUACAAGAGCCACGUACACAUUAGCCAUUAUUACUACUGCUUUUUAUUCUUUGUUUUUUUUGUACUUUUUCUCUAGUUUUAGUGAAUCAAUCAUUUAAGAAACAAAUACUUGUAGAAGCAGCUUAUUUUAAGUGCAAAAAACUGAGCUAGAUGCUGAAGAAAAAUUACCAGGAAGUGUAAAAUGUGCAUUCUUUCCUUGAAGAGAUUUCAGAUAACUUGGGAUCAACAGAAAAGAAACACCCAGGCUGGACUGUACUGCCGCCAUCUCGACUCACUGCAACCUCCCUGCCUGAUUCUCCUGCCUCAGCCUGCCAAGUACCUGCGAUUGCAGGCACGCAUCACCACGCCUGACUGGUUUUCGUAUUUUUUGGUGGAGACGGGGUUUCACCGUGUUGGCCGGGCUGGUCUCUAGCUCCUGAUCGCGAGUGAUCUGCCAGCCUCGGCCUCCCGAGGUGUCGGGAUUGCAGACAGAGUCUCACUCACUCAGUGCUCAAUGUUGCCCAGGCUGGAGUGCAGUGGCGUGAUCUCGGCUCACUACAGUCUCCACCUCCCAGCCGCCUGCCUUGGCCUCCCAAAGUGUCGAGAUUGCAGCCUCUGCCCGGCCGCCACCCCAUCUAGGAAGUGAGGAGCGUCUCUGCCUGGCCGCCCAUCGUCCGGGAUGUGAGGAGCCCCUCUGCCCGGCCGCCCAGUCUGGGAACUGAGGAGCGCCUCUUCCCGGCCAUCAUCCCAUCUAGGAAGUGAGGAGCGUCUCUGCCCGGCCACCCAUCGUCUGGGAUGUGGGGAGCGCCUCUGCCCCGCCGCCCCAUCUGAGAUGUGAAGAGCGCCUCUACCCGGCCGCGACCCCGUCUGGGAAUUGAGGAGUGUCUCUGCCCCACUGGCACCCCGUCUGGGAGGUGAGGAGGUCUCUGAGCGGCCGCCCGGUCUGAGAAGUGAGGAGCCCCUCCGCCCAGCAGCCGCCCCAUCUGGGAACUGAGGAGCCCCUCCGCCUGGCAGCCGCCCCAUCCGGGAAGUGAGGCGCGUCUCCGCCCGGCAGCCGCCCCGUCCGGGAGGUGGGGGCAGCCCCCGCCCAGCCAGCCGCCCCGUCUGGGAGGUGGGGGCGCCUCUGCCCGGCCGACCCGUCUGGGAAGUGAGGAGCCCCUCUGCCCGGCCACCACCCCGUCUGGGAGGUGUACCCAACAGCUCGUUGAGAACGGGCCAUGAUGACGAUGGCGGUUUUGUCGAAUAGAAAAGGGGGAAAUGUGGGGAAAAGAAAGAGAGAUCAGAUUGUUACUGUGUGUAGAAAGAAGUAGACAUAGGAGACUCCAUUUUGUUCUGUACUAAAAAAUUCUUCUGCCUUGGGAUGCUGUUAAUCUAUAACCUUACCCCCAACCCUGUGCUCUCUGAAACAUAUGCUGUGUCCACUAAGGGUUAAAUGGAUUAAGGGCGGUGCAAGAUGUGCUUUGUUAAACAGAUGCUUGAAGGCAGCAUGCUCGUUCAGAGUCAUCACCACUCCCUAAUCUGAAGUACCCAGGGACACAAACACUGCAGAAGGCGGCAGGGCCCUCUGCCUAGGAAAACCAGAGACCUUUGUUCACAUGUUUAUCUGCUGACCUUCCCUCCACUAUUGUCCUGUGACCCUGCCAAAUCCCCCUCUCCGAGAAACACCCAAGAAUGAUCAAUAAAUACUAAAAAAAUUUAAAAAAAAAAAGAAAAAAAUGUAUUUAAUAUUGAUGAAUGUUGGAACACUUUACAUAGAUAUACUUGGAUUUUCUCAGUAGAUAUGAAAAUAAAUCCCCUUGUUCUCCUUGGUUAAGUUUUUAUUUAUGUUGAAAUUAAUACAUCUCUUCUCUAGAAUUCUGUUUUGUAUAUGGUCUGCAAACUGGAAUGCUACAGAAAAACUCCACAAAGCUGAUGAUGAAUAUGCAAACAAGAGGGGGAAGCCCUCUCAUCCUCCUCCCACUGGGGGAAACGAAAGCACAGAGGUCAUUCAGCAAAUGAAUCUCCAAGUGGAAAAAUAUAAUUACAAGGAGUUUGGUAAAACUUUCUACUUGGAAAUAAAAAUUACAGAGAACUAGACUGGGAAGAAAUCUUUCUUGCUGUGUCUUCCUCUUGCUAUCUUUUCUAGAAGAAAAGCCUGGAAAUGAGAAGCCUUCGGAAUAAAUGAAGAAUUCAAAAGAUUUUGAUGUCAAAGUACUAUGCUGACAUUCAGAGAGAUGGCAGGUAGGGGCUUUUGCAAGGACACAUUUUGACAUCCAGUAAGAGUCAAGGUGAGGUAUAAAAAUAACAGUUUGAUAUUCUAUCUAUUUAGUUGUUCUUGUUGUGAUGAAAAAUUUCAAAAACUUGUAGAAAAGUAUAGAUGUCAGAAUAAUGAACCAACAUGUAAUCAUCAUUCAGCUUAGACAAUUAUCAAACAGAGUUUUUAACAAGGUUAAUCUUGUUUCAUCAAGAUACAUUUGGAAAAAACAUUAAAGUCUGCGAGUUUAUUCUUCGUAGUCCCUAGAGUUCUACAUUACAGGAAGUAAGAUGUGUUACUUUAACUGUGGUUGACAACUGCUGAAGACACUUGUCCUCUGCCUGUUAUUGUUUCUCAAACACUGCCACUACAUUUCUUGUCUAAGUUUUAUAAAGUUAAAAGAUGAAAUUUAAGUUUUUUUCAGUUACCUAUUCUAAUAUAUUCAAAUAUUUCUGAAGAACAUAUACUUUAGCCCUAAAAUGCCUUUCUGUUCUGAGAGUGUACAUUUUUUUGUACCAUAAUAUAUUAAAAUAGAUUAAACAUACUGGUUUUAGCUAAGAUAAUUUAGCUUUAGUUAACAUUCACUAGUGAUUUACUAUAGAUCUUUUUUUUUAUUACACUUUAAGUUCUUGCAUACAUGUGCAAAACAUGCAGGUCAUAGGUAUACACGUGCCACGGUGGUUUUCUGCACCCAUCAACCCGACAUCUACAUUAGGUAUUUCUCCUAAUGCUAUCCCUCCCCUAGCCUCCCACCCCAAGACAGGCCCUGUUGUGUGAUGUUCCCCUCCCUGUGUCCAUGUAUUCUCAUUGUUCAACUCCCACUUAUGAGUGAGAACAUGCAGUGUUUGGUUUUCUGUUCUUGUGUUAGUUUGCUGAGAAUGAUGGUUUCCAGCUUCAUCCAUGUCCCUGCAAAGGACAUGAACUCAUCCUUUUUUACGGCUGCAUGAUUUACUAUAGAUCUUAAUUGCUACUUGAGAAUAAUCUUUACAAAAUGCUUACCAAUAUUAGCAUAAUGUUUCUUUUCUUGUGUGUUUGUAGAUAGUUCAUACAUGUCUCCAUAAG